UACGUAGGGUGCAAGCGUUAAUCGGAAUUACUGGGCGUAAAGCGUGCGCAGGCGGUGAUGUAAGACCGAUGUGAAAUCCCCGGGCUUAACCUGGGAACUGCAUUGGUGACUGCAUUGCUAGAGUAUGGCAGAGGGGGGUGGAAUUCCACGUGUAGCAGUGAAAUUCGUAGAUAUUGGGAAGAACACCGGUGGCGAAGGCGGCGACCUGGUCCGAUACUGACGCUGAGGCGCGAAAGCGUGGGGAGCAAACAGG
rnacentral:rRNA from 1 species